UACGGGGCUUAUGUCUUGUAAUUGGAAUGAUGGGAAUUUAAACCUCUUCCAGAGUAAACAUUGGAGGGCAAGUCUGGUGCCAGCAGCCGCGGUAAUUCCAGCUCCAAUAGCGUAUAUUAAAAUUGUUGCAGUUAAAAAGCUCGUAGUUGAAUUUCUGCUGCAUUGCAUUUUCUCCUAUACUAGUUUUUGCAUUGUGGCUUAUUUCGGUUAUAAAAUUUAUUUUUAUUUCCGGAUGUUUACUUUGAGAAAAUUAGAGUGCUCAAAGCAGGCUUUUGCCUUGAAUAGUUUAGCAUGGAAUAAUAAAGUAGGACUUUGGUUCUAUUUUGUUGGUUUUAGGUACCAAAGUAAUGGUUAAUAGGAACAGUUGGGGUCA
rnacentral:rRNA from 1 species